rnacentral:rRNA from 1 species
UACAGAGGUCUCAAGCGUUGUUCGGAUUCAUUGGGCGUAAAGGGUGCGUAGGUGGCGGGGUAAGUCAGGUGUGAAAUCUCGGGGCUCAACCCCGAAACUGCACUUGAUACUGCCUUGCUCGAGUACUGGAGAGGAGAUUGGAAUUUACGGUGUAGCAGUGGAAAUGCGUAGAUAUCGUAAGGAAGACCAGUGGCGAAGGCGAAUCUCUGGACAGUUACUGACACUGAGGCACGAAAGGC